GUGAACCAGUACCGUGAGGGAAAGGCGAAAAGAACCCCGGCGAGGGGAGUGAAAAAGAACCUGAAACCGUGUACGUACAAGCAGUGGGAGCACAGGUUUACCUGUGUGACUGCGUACCUUUUGUAUAAUGGGUCAGCGACUUAUAUUCUGUAGCAAGGUUAACCGAAUAGGGGAGCCGGAGGGAAACCGAGUCUUAACCGGGCGUUAAGUUGCAGGGUAUAGACCCGAAACCCGGUGAUCUAGCCAUGGGCAGGUUGAAGGUUGGGUAACACUAACUGGAGGACCGAACCGACUAAUGUUGAAAAAUUAGCGGAUGACCUGUGGCUGGGGGUGAAAGGCCAAUCAAACCGGGAGAUAGCUGGUUCUCCCCGAAAGCUAUUUAGGUAGCGCCUCGUGAAUUCAUCUCCGGGGGUAGAGCACUGUUUCGGCUAGGGGGCCAUCCCGGCUUACCAACCCGAUGCAAACUGCGAAUACCGGAGAAUGUUAUCACGGGAGACACACGGCGGGUGCUAACGUCCGUCGUGAAGAGGGAAACAACCCAGACCGCCAGCUAAGGUCCCAAAGUCAUGGUUAAGUGGGAAACGAUGUGGGAAGGCCCAGACAGCCAGGAUGUUGGCUUAGAAGCAGCCAUCAUUUAAAGAAAGCGUAAUAGCUCACUGGUCGAGUCGGCCUGCGCGGAAGAUGUAACGGGGCUAAACCAUGCACCGAAGCUGCGGCAGCGAACGUAUCACUUAAAGCGAUUCAGCGGGUUACGAUUGACGGAGCGAAGCGACGUCAAAGCGUAUACAAAGUCGAGUCGGUUUAAGGAUACGUUCGUUGGGUAGGGGAGCGUUCUGUAAGCCUGUGAAGGUGGCCUGUGAGG
rnacentral:rRNA from 1 species